rnacentral:rRNA from 1 species
AAUACAUGCAAGUCGAGCGGACAGAUGGGAGCUUGCUCCCUGAUGUUAGCGGCGGACGGGUGAGUAACACGUGGGUAACCUGCCUGUAAGACUGGGAUAACUCCGGGAAACCGGGGCUAAUACCGGAUGGUUGUCUGAACCGCAUGGUUCAGACAUAAAAGGUGGCUUCGGCUACCACUUACAGAUGGACCCGCGGCGCAUUAGCUAGUUGGUGAGGUAACGGCUCACCAAGGCGACGAUGCGUAGCCGACCUGAGAGGGUGAUCGGCCACACUGGGACUGAGACACGGCCCAGACUCCUACGGGAGGCAGCAGUAGGGAAUCUUCCGCAAUGGACGAAAGUCUGACGGAGCAACGCCGCGUGAGUGAUGAAGGUUUUCGGAUCGUAAAGCUCUGUUGUUAGGGAAGAACAAGUGCCGUUCAAAUAGGGCGGCACCUUGACGGUACCUAACCAGAAAGCCACGGCUAACUACGUGCCAGCAGCCGCGGUAAUACGUAGGUGGCAAGCGUUGUCCGGAAUUAUUGGGCGUAAAGGGCUCGCAGGCGGUUUCUUAAGUCUGAUGUGAAAGCCCCCGGCUCAACCGGGGAGGGUCAUUGGAAACUGGGGAACUUGAGUGCAGAAGAGGAGAGUGGAAUUCCACGUGUAGCGGUGAAAUGCGUAGAGAUGUGGAGGAACACCAGUGGCGAAGGCGACUCUCUGGUCUGUAACUGACGCUGAGGAGCGAAAGCGUGGGGAGCGAACAGGAUUAGAUACCCUGGUAGUCCACGCCGUAAACGAUGAGUGCUAAGUGUUAGGGGGUUUCCGCCCCUUAGUGCUGCAGCUAACGCAUUAAGCACUCCGCCUGGGGAGUACGGUCGCAAGACUGAAACUCAAAGGAAUUGACGGGGGCCCGCACAAGCGGUGGAGCAUGUGGUUUAAUUCGAAGCAACGCGAAGAACCUUACCAGGUCUUGACAUCCUCUGACAAUCCUAGAGAUAGGACGUCCCCUUCGGGGGCAGAGUGACAGGUGGUGCAUGGUUGUCGUCAGCUCGUGUCGUGAGAUGUUGGGUUAAGUCCCGCAACGAGCGCAACCCUUGAUCUUAGUUGCCAGCAUUCAGUUGGGCACUCUAAGGUGACUGCCGGUGACAAACCGGAGGAAGGUGGGGAUGACGUCAAAUCAUCAUGCCCCUUAUGACCUGGGCUACACACGUGCUACAAUGGACAGAACAAAGGGCAGCGAAACCGCGAGGUUAAGCCAAUCCCACAAAUCUGUUCUCAGUUCGGAUCGCAGUCUGCAACUCGACUGCGUGAAGCUGGAAUCGCUAGUAAUCGCGGAUCA